rnacentral:rRNA from 1 species
CUCAAAGGAAUNCCCGGGGGCCCGCACAAGCAGCGGAGCGUGUGGUUUAAUUCGAUGAUACACGAAGAACCUUACCAGGGUUUGACAUACAUGUGGUAGUGAAGCGAAAGUGGAACGACCCCUCGGGGAGCAUGAACAGGUGCUGCAUGGCUGUCGUCAGCUCGUGUCGUGAGAUGUUCGGUUAAGUCCGCUAACGAGCGCAACCCUUGUUGUGUGUUACACGUAUCACGCAAGACCGCCGGUAGAAAGCCGGAGGAAGGUGGGGAUGACGUCAAGUCAGCAUGGCCUUUAUAUCCUGGGCUACACACACGCUACAAUGGGUGGAACAAUGGGAAGCGAAGCGGCGACGCGGAGCGAAUCCUCCAAAACCAUCCUCAGUUCAGAUUGCAGGCUGCAACUCGCCUGCAUGAAGAUGGAGUUGCUAGUAAACGCAGGUCAGCGAUACUGCGUUGAAUACGUUCCCGGGCCUUGUACACACCGCCCGUC